rnacentral:rRNA from 1 species
GAACUGUGAGACAGGUGCUGCAUGGCUGUCGUCAGCUCGUGUUGUGAAAUGUUGGGUUAAGUCCCGCAACGAGCGCAACCCUUAUCCUUUGUUGCCAGCGGUUAGGCCGGGAACUCAAAGGAGACUGCCAGUGAUAAACUGGAGGAAGGUGGGGAUGACGUCAAGUCAUCAUGGCCCUUACGACCAGGGCUACACACGUGCUACAAU